UACGUAGGGUGCGAGCGUUAAUCGGAAUUACUGGGCGUAAAGCGUGCGCAGGCGGUUCGUCGUGUCCGAUGUGAAAGCCCCGGGCUCAACCUGGGAAUGGCAUUGGAAACUGGCGGACUCGAGUGUGGCAGAGGGGGGUGGAAUUCCGCGUGUAGCAGUGAAAUGCGUGGAGAUGCGGAGGAACACCGAUGGCGAAGGCAGCCCCCUGGGCUAACACUGACGCUCAGGCACGAAAGCGUGGGGAGCAAACAGG
rnacentral:rRNA from 1 species